AAAGAGAGGAUCGGUGAGUGGCAGGGUCAGCGAACUUGCGAGCGGGAGGAUUGCGAGCAGAAGGAAUGGCAAGCGAGAGGGUCAGCAAGCGGAAGGGUCAGCAGCAAGAGGAGGAGUGAGCGAGAGGAUUGGUUCCCUGCCUGGAAGCCAGCUUGAUUGACAAGGUUGACCUCAGGUGAGCAGGAAGCACUCCAGAGGAGCCAGAGUGACAGAAGUAGCUAUGCAAAUUAGAUAAAGGAAGGGAACUGAGAUCACUGCAGCUGAUGAAAAAGUUGGGACAAAUCAAGUGACAUUUUUCUUGGACAAGUAAUCAGUAUCACCACAAGUCACUAGCUUCCGGAACCGAAGAGAGCAAUGUUCCUGAAACCUUGAAAGUGAUGACAAUUGGCACCAGAUCCAUCUAAAAUUGAACAGACUCGCAGGGAAAGAGAAAUGGGGCAUCAAUAAUUACCAAGAAACAAAACAGGAUAGAGUAAAAAUAAUGGAG